UCAAGCCACAGUAAUCACAGUUAACUUUUUACAGCAGCAUAUGGGAAACUAACACAGACCUGAAUAUGCUUCAGUACAACUCGUACACAACAAUGUCAUGAAAAGAACAAUCUGGAAAGAUAAUAAUUAUCUUUCUUAAAUUUGCCAGUUUGAUCUAUUUGAAGAUGAAAAUUUUCUGCUGCUAAUGACUAUGGGGAAUGGUUUGGAAUACGAAACUAUCCAAUUAGACACUCAUGAGACAGUUGUGUAAAAUCCAAGCAGAGUAAUGAGAAUAAUAAGUGUGAUAGUGGAUAAAUAUUGAGCACUUAUUAUGUCCUAGGCUCUACAAGCACUUUGUGGCAUGCUCCGAUUUCACUAACCCUCUCUCUGCCUGAUCCUGGCUUCUCAUCUGCCAAACAAAACAGCAUUUAACAGCAGCUGGUGGGAAACCAACAGAGAAAGAAGGCAAGGUAAGUGGAAGGAUAAAUGUUACUCAUUUCCACUGUCAAAUGGGAAGAGACCCAGUCAUGGAAGAUCUCAUGAACAAUGAGAAAAAAGGAAAGUCAAUGCUGAUGUGCAUACUGGAAGCAAUGAGUGGUCCAGGAGAGCAAUUUCUAGCUUCUUUUUUGCUUCUGGAAUGUGAUUUUUCACAUUUUACAAUGACAUGAAGAGACCUGUCUAAAGGUUCCAUCAACAUCUAUAUUUGUAUGGGAUACAGAGAGAAGACUCUUGAUUUUGACAAAUGUUCCAGGUCUCUCGAUCCGUGUCUAAUGACUCCCUUUACCAGGUCAUGUUUUUUUCUCUGACUCUAUUAUUAACCACCACAUUAAAGAAUAUACGAAACAGCCUA